AGCCAGACUGGUUUGACUGUAAUCAACCUAGAAUUCGUUCUGGGUGCACUUGCAGUCUAUACCUGCCAACAACAGUUUGAUUUGGAGGAAAAAAUUAGUAGGAAUGUAGCCUCUCGAGGUGUUAUAGCCUACUAUCAUACUCUGGAUUGGACUGAGGAACGCAGCGAAUGCCUUUAGGCGAGAUUGCUGGGUGCUUUCGCUAAUAAAUGUUAGAAUUUCUGCUUCGGGUGGUGCUAA
rnacentral:rRNA from 1 species